AUUUCAAAUCAGCCCCUGUCCUCAUUCGGAAUUAUAAAUCGGCCCUCGUUCCCGCUUUCACCUUUUUCCCCAAAUCAAAACCCUAGCUUUCUCUCUCUUCCCCAAAAUUCGCUUCCAAUUCAAUCGAAUUCCACAGAGCGAUUCAGACAAUAUAGAUACAAUAAAUGGAGAGGAUCGUCGGAGAUAAGUACAAAUUAGGUCGCAAAAUCGGUAGCGGAUCGUUUGGUGAAAUUUUUCUUGCUACACAUAUAGACACCUUUGAAAUCGUGGCGGUUAAGAUUGAAAACCAGAAGACGAAGCAUCCGCAAUUGCUUUAUGAGGCCAAGUUGUAUAGUGUUCUUCAAGGAGGAAAUGGUAUUGCGAACAUGAAAUGGUGCGGGGUGAAUGGAGAUGAUAACAUUCUUGUCCUUGACCUUCUUGGACCAAGUCUUGAAGAUCUCUUUGUCUACUGUGGGAGGAAGUUUUCCUUGAAAACAGUCUUAAUGUUGGCUGAGCUAAUGAUUACGAGAAUAGAGUAUGUGCAUGCUAAAGGAUUUUUGCAUAGAGACAUUAAACCAGAUAACUUCCUCAUGGGUCUUGGCAGGAAAGCAAAUGUGGUUUAUAUUAUUGAUUUUGGACUUGCAAAAAGAUUUCGGGACCCCACGACAAAUCGGCAUAUUCCUUACAAAGAGAACAAAAACUUAACAGGGACUGCACGUUAUGCAAGUUGCAAUACUCAUUUGGGAAUUGAACAGAGCCGUCGGGAUGAUUUGGAGUCACUGGGCUAUGUUCUCCUGUACUUUUUAAGAGGAAGCCUUCCUUGGCAGGGUUUAAAGGCUGCCACAAAAAAGCAAAAGUAUGACAAGAUAUGUGAGAAGAAGUUAUCAACUCGUAUUGAGGUCCUUUGCAAGUCGCAUCCUGUGGAGUUUGCAUCAUACUUCCAUUAUUGCCACUCAUUGACAUUUGAUCAGAGGCCUGAUUAUGGAUUCUUGAAGCGCCUGUUUCGUGACUUGUUUAAUCGGGAAGGAUAUGAGUUUGAUAAUGUAUUUGAUUGGACCAUUUUAAAAUACCAGCAGACACAACGGACAAAUAUGCAAGCUCAAUCAUCUCCAGUUACUGGAGCGACAAGUAGUCUAGCAAAGCCUAUGGAUGUGGAUAAGAAUAAAGGAGGCAAGGAUGCUUUUUAUUCAGCCAAGGCUACUGAGCCUAGAGAACCAAGUAAAAACACUCAUCAACAGGUUCAUGUGCAGUUUAGAUCAUCAGAAGCUCAGAAUUUGAGUGCUUCAAAUCUGAAGGAGAAACAUACUGUGAGCAAUGCAGCAAUGGCAUCUACUUCGUCUGCUAUGCCAAGAUCCUUCAAAAGCAAUUUUUCAAAACCUGAUGGGCAGGCAGAAACUGCAUAUGCAGGUCGUGGGCUCGGGAAUGGAACUGGUACUUCAAGCAGCUGGAUGGCAUCAUUAAAACGAAUUUCCUCAACCAAGUAACUGUUAUGGAUCCAAAGGAUAGCAUCAAAGCAUGCACAACAUUGGCAACUACAAUGAAAUUUGGAAUGAUUGAGAUCUUCUGUUGCAAAAUCGAAUGAAGUUUUAAUAUAAGGGGACUACAAAGUACAGACGCAUUGGAUACUGCUAGGACUUGGUCAAAUCAAAGCUUGGCACUCGCCCUCUCAAGUUAAAGCUUGGAUUUUCUGCGUGCAUAGGAUGAGUUGCUUUCUGUUCUUAUUGCUGUAUCUUUUUUGGAUCAAAGCUCUGGAAGUUCACCUGGAUAGUUUUGAUCUCAGGUUCCCGAAUUUGAGAACUACUGUUGCAUGGUUGUUCAGAUUUAAUAUAUGAGAAGAUGUAAAGGAUGAAUGGGUGAAGUUCAUGGAAUCUUGAUGUCAAAUGGAGAUGGUUUGUAUGAUCCAACUUUUUGUUGGUCUAGGGAUUUUCGGAGCUGUGGUUCUUUAGUGUAGAUAAUUUCAAGGGCUCAACAUACACCGACUCUCUCUCUCUCUCUCUCUCUCUCUCUAUUAACAACCCCCCCCCCCCCCCCCCCCUCUUUUUUCCUCUUAGUCAAGCAAUAGUUUUUUUUUUUUUUUGGGUGGGGAAGCUACAAGAAGAGGGUAGAUUUGAAUCUAGGUUCUCCCCAUGAGGGAGACAAGGCGUGGCAUUGAUUCACAAAGAACUUGGCACCGAGCACUAGAUCCAAAAUUCCCUAGAGAUACCAGAUCUACACUAGAUAGUUGGUGCUACAUUGCAUUCCACAUAUGAAAGGGUUCCGUUGUUUUUAGGGCUUUGUAGUGGGUCACAUAUUUUCUUUGCUUGUGACUGUGUCUUUACCAUUAUUUCGUUUGGUUUAUUCUUUUUCCCUUAUUUUAUUUUUAUAUUUUUAUAUAAGAGGAUGGAGGCAAAAGAAGGAGGUUGGGGGGAUUAACUCUCCGUCCUUGUGUUUCUCAACCAUACACCCUCUUCAAAAUGAUAGAUAGAUUUUGUAAGGGAUUAAAACGCACUGGAUUUAUAUUUAUAUAGCGUCUCUAUAUGGUUGCUAGGGAGCAGUUUCUUCA